GAUGAACGCUGGCGGCGUGCCUAAUACAUGCAAGUCGAGCGAACAGACGAGGAGCUUGCUCCUCUGACGUUAGCGGCGGACGGGUGAGUAACACGUGGAUAACCUACCUAUAAGACUGGGAUAACUUCGGGAAACCGGAGCUAAUACCGGAUAAUAUAUUGAACCGCAUGGUUCAAUAGUGAAAGACGGUUUUGCUGUCACUUAUAGAUGGAUCCGCGCCGCAUUAGCUAGUUGGUAAGGUAACGGCUUACCAAGGCGACGAUGCGUAGCCGACCUGAGAGGGUGAUCGGCCACACUGGAAAUGAGACACGGUCCAGACUCCUACGGGAGGCAGCAGUAGGGAAUCGUCCGCAAAGGGCGAAAGCCUGACGGAGCAACGCCGCGUGAGUGAUGAAGGUCUUCGGAUCGUAAAACUCUGUUAUUAGGGAAGAACAAAUGUGUAAGUAACUAUGCACGUCUUGACGGUACCUAAUCAGAAAGCCACGGCUAACUACGUG
rnacentral:rRNA from 1 species